rnacentral:rRNA from 1 species
CCCCUAGAUGUUCUGGGCCGCACGCGCGCUACACUGAACAGUUCAACAAGUCUUAACCUUGGCCGAUAGGUCUGGGUAAUCUUUGAACGCUGUUCGUGAUUGGGAUAGACCUUUGCAAUUAUGGGUCUUCAACGAGGAAUUCCUAGUAAACGCAAGUCAUCAGCUUGCAUUGAUUACGUCCCUGCCCUUUGUACACACCGCCCGUCGCACCUACCGAUUGAAUGGUCCGGUGAAAUCUCGGGACGGCGGCUUGUUCGCUUGCGUCCGACUGCUGAAACUUGAUUAAACCAUAUCAUUUAGAGGAAGGUGAAGUCGUAACA